UGGACCUUACCCAACCCAAUGCAGUUUUAUCCAAUAAAGUGAAUGAUUAGAGGUUUGGGGGCCAGAAUGAUCUCAACUUAUUCUCAAACUUUAAAUGGGUAAUAAGCCUGGAUCACUGGCAUGUAGCUGGGCAUGGAAUGUGAGUGCCUAGUGGGCCAAUUUGUUAAGCAGAACUGCUACUGCAGCAUAAACUGAGUGCUGGGUUCAGGCACCCAAUUCCAAUGCUCAUCAACACCAGAAAAGGUGUUGGUUGAUAUAAGCAGCAGGUCACUGGCCAUAAAAGUUGGAAUCCACUAAAAAGUGUGUAACAACUCACCUGCCAAAUCAACUAGUGCUAAAAAUGGAUGGCACUGUAAUAUCAGGCCCAUACUCGACCAUCAUUAGGUGAG
rnacentral:ncRNA from 1 species